rnacentral:rRNA from 1 species
AUUGAACGCUGGCGGCAUGCUUUACACAUGCAAGUCGAACGGUAACAGGCCUUCGGGUGCUGACGAGUGGCGAACGGGUGAGUAAUGCAUCGGAACGUGCCCAGAGGUGGGGGAUAACGCAGCGAAAGCUGUGCUAAUACCGCAUGUGAUCUGAGGAUGAAAGCGGGGGACCAGGCAGCAAUGUUUGGCCUCGCGCCUUUGGAGCGGCCGAUGUCAGAUUAGGGAGUUGGGGGGGUAAAGGCCUACCAAGCCGACGAUCUGUAGCUGGUCUGAGAGGACGACCAGCCACACUGGGACUGAGACACGGCCCAGACUCCUACGGGAGGCAGCAGUGGGGAAUUUUGGACAAUGGGCGCAAGCCUGAUCCAGCAAUGCCGCGUGCGGGAAGAAGGCCUUCGGGUUGUAAACCGCUUUUGUACGGAACGAAAAGGCUCUGGCUAAUACCUGGGGCUGAUGACGGUACCGUAAGAAUAAGCACCGGCUAACUACGUG